rnacentral:ncRNA from 1 species
UCCACGGGGGAGAAUAGGAAACCGGGUGAGAAUCCCGGACGGGACCGCCGCUGUAAGCGUGUUUCGGCCCUUCCACAGGCGAAAGCCGGUCAUUGGGGAAACCUGAGAAGGCGGAAGGGGCGGGAGCAGAGUCGAUCUGCUCCAACGCGCGAAGUCAGAAGACCUGCUUGAGAGA